ACUAAUUGGACGAUAUGUGGCUUGUAAUAGAUAGCUUGCUGUUCAGCCAUGAUAGUCGGGAGGUACUGCUUUUGUUUAAGCUCAAUUUGUUGUACACAGUUUUAAAAAAUUAAGAACAAUUGAUUGAAUGUGCUUAUUUGCCGAGAUGAUUUGGUUAAAGGAAAAGGUUUUCUGUCAGCAAACGAAUGCAGAUCUGGUGGUUCUAAUUUGCGGGUUAUAGUUUCAUUUUUGUAUCUCCCACACUGGAAUGAAUAAACAAUAACGGUAUUUGCUAAAGAUUAAUAGAAAAAGUGGGGGAAACCGAAAUUUAACGGAGUCUAUCGAAGUUAAAUAUAGUUGCAGUAACCCCACCACAUCGGGGGAUCGGACAGAGAACAGGGAGUGGGAAAGUGUUAAAGAUUUAGAAUUAGUGGCUAUCGGUCGGGUGAGGGGUCGUGGGCCGGAGAUCAUCGCUUCGGAACAAUAAACAAAAGUGGUUUUGCGAUGACAUUUCCCCCGGUCCGUAACGAACAAUGCUCGACGUAUUCCGAGGUCUCAAGAACUUGAUCAAAGUCAGCAACAUCCGGAUCGACUCGCCGGUAUUCAGACUCCACUACAGCAUAACUGUUAUGAUACUUAUAGCGUUCUCGCUCAUCGUCACGACCAGGCAAUAUGUUGGAAACCCGAUCGACUGCGUCCACACCAAGGACAUACCCGAGGACGUGCUCAACACUUACUGCUGGAUCCACUCGACGUACACGCUCAAAUCCGCUUUCAAGAAGAAAGUCGGGGUCGUCGUACCUUACCCGGGUGUGGACAACAGCAGGGGAGAGACGGAAGACCGCAAAUGCUACACGUACUACCAGUGGGUCUGCUUUUGCCUCUUCUUUCAAGCGGUACUGUUUUACAUGCCGAGAUGGCUGUGGAAGCAUUGGGAAGGAGGGAAGAUCCACGCCCUGAUGAUGGACCUCGACGUCGGCAUAUGUUCGGAGAUCGAGAAACGUCAGAAGAAGAAGCUUCUCCUGGAUUACCUCUGGGAGAACUUGCGCUACCACAACUGGUGGUGUUUCCGCUACUUCCUCUGCGAGUUGCUGUCCCUGGCCAACGUCGUCGGCCAAAUGUUUCUCAUGGACCGGUUCUUCGACGGAGCGUUCCUCACGUUCGGAAUCGACGUUUUCCGCUUUCUGGAGAGUGACCAGGAAGACAGGGUCGACCCGAUGAUCUUCAUUUUCCCAAGGAUGACCAAGUGCACCUUCUACAAGUACGGCGUGUCCGGCGAGGUCGAACGGCACGACGCCGUCUGCAUCCUCCCGCUCAACGUGGUCAACGAAAAGAUCUACGUCUUCUUGUGGUUCUGGUUCCUCAUUCUCGGAGCUCUCACCUCCGUCGUUAUUCUCUAUAGGAUUAUGAUCAUCCUCAGCCCGAGGAUGAGGGUGUACCUUUUGAGGCUGCGAUUCCGGCUGGUCCGCCGGGAGGCCAUAGACGCGAUCGUCCGGCGUUCUAAAAUGGGCGACUGGUUCCUGCUGUACAUGCUGGGCGAAAACAUAGAUUCGAUCAUAUUCCGCGACGUCGUACACGAACUCGCUUCGAAGCUCGGCACGGCGAAGCCUAUCGAACCCUAGCCGAGGCCUCCGCCCCCUCUCCGUCUCAACUGGGACAGAUGGAAUAGGAAGUUAGAUUUCCGAACCGGCGGCAAAUUUUUUUUGCGGUUUUUGAAGAACGCAGCGAAAAACCUGUGUAAGUUUGAAAAUGGUGUUGGUGGGGGCGCGGAACCUGAGAUUUGCGUGAUCGACGUCCACCCGUCCCCGACUCUUAUCUAAGGAGUUUCGGAGAGAGAAAAAAAAGACGUUCUGACACCCCCGGGGGGGGGCAGGAAAAACGCCACUUUUCCACUUUUCUACAUGGAAGAAAGGACGAAAUUUGAUGAAGUGUUCAUCGAUACGCAACUGUGCGAAUGAUAGCAUUUUUAAAAUGUGACUAUAUGAUCAAGUUGAUUGGAGACUGUCGAAACAUGUGCAAUCCAUAAAAAAAAAGAAUUAAGUUCAAAUUUGUACUAAAAAUAUAAGAAAAUAAGCAUUUAAUUUUUUAUACUUCGUGCAAUAUGCAAAGGGAAAAGAUGUAUAGAAAAGAAUGUUUACCUGGCAUAAUUUAAAUCAUCAUUUGAUCUGCCACAAAAAAAAAUCCUAUUUUAUACUCUUUUACUGUGUUAAUUUUGUGUGUGUAUAUAUGACAAAUUUUACCGACAAAAACGUUAAAAAUCAAUGAACAUUCAUUUGAGUAAAACUACGACGUUUUUCUAAUUAUUAUCGAUAUUAGUGCAAUUUUUAUAAUUUAAAAUGAUUUAAACUAAAUUUUUGCUGAAGUUUUGUAAAUAAUAAACUUUUUUUUUAAAGAAGUGAUGAUAUUACGGCGGCAGAAAUAGUGUGUAUGUGUGCGUGCGUUCUCGCUUGUACUUUUGGAAUUUAUGAACGUCGUCGAAUACAAACAAUAUAACGUUUGUUAUGCUUUAUAGACCAAAUUUGUACAGGUUUAAGUAACUGGUAGUAUUUAUCUAGUAAUCUAAGUCUUAAUAUGUCAAUAAAAUUUCUUUUUUA